rnacentral:lncRNA from 1 species
CAUAACAUAAAAUAAUAUCAAAUAACAAAUAACAAGAAUAUAAGAAAUAUAGGAAAUACGAGAAAGAAGAAAGUAUACUAAUAUCUAGGAUAUAAAGCCAUGCAUCAGUAACUGAUCAGUAGAAUCGUAAGCCUAACUCCUAACUAUUUAGUCUCACUCUAGUGCAUUGUAGAAAUAUCCCAACUUCCCCCUAACAUAAAACCUUAAUGCUCGACCUUCACAAUCUCCUGUCAAGGGCCAUGUCCUCACUAAUCCUAAGUCACGUCAUAUCAUGCCUAGUCACCUCUUCCCAAUACUUCUUAGGUCUCCAUCUACCUCUCCUCGUGCCCACCACUGCCAGUCUCUCACAACUUCUCACCGGUGCAUCAGUGCUUCUUCUCUGAACAUGCCCGAACCAUCUGAGUCUUGCUUCCCGCAUCUUGUCCUUCAUGGGCGCCACGCCCACACUCUCUCGAAUAAUUUCAUUCCUAAUCUUAUCCAUCCUUGUAUGCCCACACAUCCACCUCAACAUCCUCAUCUCCAC